rnacentral:hammerhead_ribozyme from 1 species
AUCCAUCUGACGAGCCUCAAAUAGGACGAAACGCGCGUUCUGAAU